AGAGGUGGAGCAAAGGCACUCGAUUGGUCACUGUCAGAUAGGAGGGGCAGAGCAAAGGCGCUCGAUUGGUCACUGUCAGAUAGGAGAGGCGGAGCAAAGGCAAUCGAUUGGUCACUGUGAGACAGGUGGGGCGGAGCAAACUUUCUCGACUGGUCACUGUCAGACAGGAGGGGCGGAACAAAGGCGCUCGAUUGGUCACUGUGAGACAGGAGGGGCGGAACAAAGGCGCUCGAUUGGUCACUGUCAGACAGGAGGGGCGGAACAAAGGCGCUCGAUUGGUCACUGUCAGACAGUAGGGGCGGAACAAAGGCGCUCGAUUGGUCACUGUCAGACAGGAGGGGCGGAACAAAGGCGCUCGAUUGGUCACUGUCACACAGAAGGGGCGGAGCUAGUGACCCUGAGAAAAGGAAGUGGCCAACUAUGCAUAAAUAAAUUCA